ACACGUAGGGGCCUGACGUUGUUCGGAAUCAUUGGGCGCAAAGGGCGCGCAGGCGGCCGUCCAAGUCCGGUGUUAAAUGUUCGGGCUCAACCCGAUCAUGCGCUGGAAACUGGGCGCCUGGAGUCCCGGAGGGGAUGCCGGAUUUUCAGGUGUAUGGGCGAAAUCUGUAGAUAUCUGGAAGAACACCGAUGGCGAAGGAAGGCAUCUGGCCGGAGACUGACGCUGAGGCGCGAAGGCGCGGGGAGCGAACAGGUUUAGAUACCCUGGUAGUCCGCGCAGUAAACGAUGCGCACCAGGUGUCGGGCGGCAGCGCCCGGUACCGGAGCAAACGCGAUGAGUGCGCCGCCUGGGGAGUAUGCCCGCAAGGGUGAAACUCAAAGGAAUUGACGGGG
rnacentral:rRNA from 1 species